rnacentral:rRNA from 1 species
UACAGGGGGUGCAAACGUUGCUCGGAAUUAUUGGGCGUAAAGCGCGCGUAGGCGGUGACUCAAGUCGGAUGUGAAAGCCCUUGGCUUAACCGAGGAAGUGCAUCCGAAACUGAGUCGCUAGAGUACGAUAGAGGGUCGCGGAAUUCCCGGUGUAGAGGUGAAAUUCGUAGAUAUCCGGAGGAACACCAGUGGCGAAGGCGGCUUUCUGGACCGACACUGACGCUGAGGCGCGAAAGCUAGGGGAGCAAACGGG